UAUAUGUGCCUAGUCUUUAUUCAUAGACUAGAGUAAAAAGUGGAUGUUGCUGGGACUGUUUUUCUGAUUAUGGUGGUGGUGGUUCUGAAAUGUUCUGUCUGUCCACAAAUUAAACACAGUGUUUCCCUCUACCAGAGGCUAUAUGCAAGUGGACAGCACUUGCCUGUCAGAAUUAAUUGGAAGCCAACUCACACUAGGGGCCACUGCUGCUCCUAUCAGCCUUUAAUGUACUGUGAUGUGUUUCCUGGAUAUUCCGGGACCCUAGGGCACUCUCUGUUCUUUCCAGGCAUCUCACAGAAGAUUCAAAAGUAGAAAAAUCUACAGAGGAGAAUAUCUGUAAGCUCCCCAGAGUCCACCACGUUCUUAUUAACUGACACUGAAAGCCUCAGUAACUCCGUCCGAAACAUUUGUAGGAGAAAGAAUCAAAAGCAUUUCUUUACUUACAGUUCCUUGAAAUUACAGACUCGGGUAUACUGCUUUCUUUACUGUACACAUACUGGCAACCAACUGAUCAACAGCAGCAAAAGAACCUACCACCAACUGACAAAAGAUAGGAAUAGAACACUCAGCAGAAAGUCUUGACCCUCUUUGAAUUUCAAAAGCUUGAGGGAACAAUUGCUCAGUGUUGGAUAGAUAAUCAUCCUAGUCCAGAAACAUUGCUCCCAGUCACUCAAACUACAGACAGCAUGUGAGGUUGUAAGUAAAACUUCAAGAAAUUAAUCAUGAUACUUAUUGGCUGUUGAGACGAUUAAGACUUAUGGUGAGCCUUUCUAGGGUUUUCUACAUACACAAUAUUCAGAAAUGUUUUACCAUCCUGUGACAAUGCAGCUUGCCAAGGGCUACACAGGCUUUUCUCCUGGAAGUACCAUGGAGGAUCAAGCUUACAACCUCUGCCUCCUCAGCCAGAUGUAGGCACAUAAAGGAAUAAGGAGAGGUUGAAUAUUUAUUCAUCGGUCAAUGAUCCUUCAUUUGUGGAUGAAGUUGCAUUCUUUGCUGGUUUCAAACAAGCCACACUUCGCACACUUGUCUCCCUCUUCAAACAACUCAUUCUAAAUGUUGUAGUGAUAUAGUACAAACCUGUAACUGAAUAAACCUGCUUAACAAUAAAUAA